rnacentral:sRNA from 2 species
GGACAGUCAUCGCCGAGUCCCCGUACGGCGCGAGCCAGGGGAGCCGGGGACCCAAUGAUGCAGUCCCUGGGGUGAAUCGGACGCCCGCGCCCAGCGAGGGUGUCCGUAGGAGACCUUCCUGCUCCGAACCCGUCAGCUAACCCGGUAGGCGAGAAGGAAGGAAAGG